rnacentral:misc_RNA from 1 species
GAUGAAGACGUAGCGAAAUGCGAUAAGUAAUGUGAAUUGCAGAAUUCAGUGAAUCAUCGAAUCUUUGAACGCACCUUGCGCUCCUUGGUAUUCCGAGUAGCAUGCCUGUUUGAGUGUCAUGAAAUUCUCAACCUUUUCAGCUUUCUUUGUUGAUCAGGCUUGGAUGUGGGAGUAUGCGGGCUUCUCAGAAGUCGGCUCUCCUGAAAUGCAUUAGCGGGACCUUUGUUGCCUGGCUUUGGUGUGAUAAUUAUCUACGCCAUUGUAGUCAAGCAGCUUAAAAUGAGGUUUCAGCUUCUAACCGUCUCCCCUGAGACAACUUUUUGACAAUUUGACCUCAAAUCAGGUAGGACUACCCGCUGAACUUAAGCAUAUCAAUAAGCGGAGGA